rnacentral:rRNA from 1 species
UACGUAGGCAGCAAGCGUUGUUCGGAAUUACUGGGCGUAAAGAGUGUGUAGGCGGUGCUCUAAGUCUGUUGUGAAAUCUCCCGGCUAACUGGGAGGGUGCGGCGGAGACUGGAGUGCUAGAGUGUGGGAGAGGUAAGCGGAAUUCCUGGUGUAGCGGUGAAAUGCGUAGAUAUCAGGAGGAACACCUGUGGUGUAGACAGCUUACUGGACCACGACUGACGCUGAGACACGAAAGCGUGGGUAGCAAACAGG